UAGGGAAUCUUCGGCAAUGGGGGCAACCCUGACCGAGCAACGCCGCGUGAGUGAAGAAGGUUUUCGGAUCGUAAAGCUCUGUUGUAAGAGAAGAACGUGUGUGAGAGUGGAAAGUUCACACAGUGACGGUAACUUACCAGAAAGGGACGGCGUAACUACGCGCCAG
rnacentral:rRNA from 1 species